rnacentral:rRNA from 1 species
AUUGAACGCUGGCGGCAGGCCUAACACAUGCAAGUCGAACGAGUGGCGGACGGGAGAGUAACGUUUGGGAAUUAAGUAUAUGGAGGGGGAUAACUACGGGAACCUGUAGUUAAUACAGAGUACCUUAGGAUGAGCCCAAGAGGGAUUAGGUAUUUGGUGAGGUAAAGGCUCACCAAGCAGACGAUCGAUAGCUGGUCUGAGAGGGUGACCGGCCACACUGGGACUGAGACACGGUCCAGACUCCUACGGGAGGCAGCAGUAGGGAAUAUUGCGCAAUGGGGGCAACCUGACGCAGCCAUGCCGCGUGAGUGAAGAAGGCCUUCGGGUUGUAAAGUUCUUUCGGUAGCGAGGCGGUAACUACACAAGAAGCACCGGCUAACUCCGUGCCAGCAGCCGCGGUAAUAC